rnacentral:rRNA from 1 species
UACGGGGGGGGCAAGCGUUGUUCGGAAUUACUGGGCGUAAAGGGCUCGUAGGCGGCCAACUAAGUCAGACGUGAAAUCCCCAGGCUUAACCUGGGAACUGCGUCUGAUACUGGAUGGCUUGAAUCCGGGAGAGGGAUGCAGAAUUCCAGGUGUAGCGGUGAAAUGCGUAGAUAUCUGGAGGAAUACCGGUGGCGAAGGCGGCAUCCUGGACCGGCAUUGACGCUGAGAAGCGAAAGCUAGGGGAGCAAACGGG